rnacentral:rRNA from 1 species
UACGUAGGGUGCGAGCGUUAAUCGGAAUUACUGGGCGUAAAGCGUGCGCAGGCGGUGAUGUAAGACAGGUGUGAAAGCCCCGGGCUUAACCUGGGAAUGGCAUUUGGGACUGCAAGGCUUGAGUGCGGCAGAGGAGACUGGAAUUCCUGGUGUAGCAGUGAAAUGCGUAGAUAUCAGGAGGAAUACCGAUGGCGAAGGCAGGUCUCUGGGCUGACACUGACGCUCAUGCACGAAAGCGUGGGGAGCAAACAGG